rnacentral:tRNA from 1 species
AGUAGAGUAUGUGGACUAGUAUCACACUGGCCUAUCAAGCUGGAGGUCCCGGGUUCGAUUCCCGGCCAGAUUA